GUGUUGUAUGAAAGGAGAGCAGGUUAGCACUCCCCUUGACAAGGAUGGAAGCGGUCCUGUUGCCCUACAACACAGAAAUGGUUAAAGGGACACUGUGAAAGAUUUUUAGUUGUUUAUUUCCAGAAUUCAU